rnacentral:rRNA from 1 species
UACGAAGGGGGCUAGCGUUGUUCGGAAUUACUGGGCGUAAAGCGCACGUAGGCGGAUACUUAAGUCAGGGGUGAAAUCCCGGGGCUCAACCCCGGAACUGCCUUUGAUACUGGGUAUCUCGAGUCCGGAAGAGGUGAGUGGAAUUCCGAGUGUAGAGGUGAAAUUCGUAGAUAUUCGGAGGAACACCAGUGGCGAAGGCGGCUCACUGGUCCGGUACUGACGCUGAGGAGCGAAAGCGUGGGGAGCAAACAGG